UGUUUGUCUGUCUGUGGCAUCGUAGCGCCUAAACGGAUGAACUGAUUUUGACUUUUAUUCUUUCGUUUGAAAGAUAAUUUAAUGGAGAGUGUUCUUAUCUAU